UGAACGCUAGCGGCAGGCUUAAUACAUGCAAGUCGAGGGGCAGCAUGAAGUAGCAAUACUUUGAUGGCGACCGGCAAACGGGUGCGGAACACGUACACAACCUUCCUUUAAGUGGGGAAUAGCCCAGAGAAAUUUGGAUUAAUACCCCGUAACACAACGAAGUGGCAUCACUUUGUUGUUAUAGUUUCGGCGCUUAAUGAUGGGUGUGCGUAUGAUUAGAUAGUUGGCGAGGUAACGGCUCACCAAGUCUACGAUCAUUAGCUGAUGUGAGAGCAUGAUCAGCCACACGGGCACUGAGACACGGGCCCGACUCCUACGGGAGGCAGCAGUAAGGAAUAUUGGUCAAUGGACGCAAGUCUGAACCAGCCAUGCCGCGUGAAGGAUUAAGGUCCUCUGGAUUGUAAACUUCUUUUAUAUGGGACGAAAAAGGUCUUUCUAGACCCUUGACGGUACCAUAUGAAUAAGCACGGCUAACUCCGUGC
rnacentral:rRNA from 1 species